GCGGCGGCCUGGAGGAAGCCUUGAGGGAGAGGGUUCGAGUUCCGUAAAUGCGCUUUGUCGGAAGGGAGCUGGUCAGUAGGGUCCGCAAACAACCAGAAGGUUUGGUUAGGAAAUCAUACGCUUGGUAUAGAAGUUGGUGUAAGUUAGUCCCUGACAUGCACGAUGAGCGCACGGCAGUGGGUUUUGCAUAAAGGGGAAGGGAAGGGAAGGGGCAAAAGGAAAGGAGAAGGGAAGGGGCGAAGGGAAAGGAGAAAGGAAAGGAGAAAAGAAAGGAAUCCAGCUGAUGUCCAAGGCACGGGUACCUUUUUAUGGAUAGUUUUCCCUGCCCUGAAGACUCAUUUCUCUCUUUCUAUGCAAAUUAGUUCUCAUGCACAGUCUAUUCUAUCAAGGGUCUUGAGUGGUCUUGAUUCCCCCUACAGUCCAUGCCCACCUCCUGGCCUCAUUCCUGUGCUUGCACUGUGGUAUGUUGUGCUUAUCUCCAAGAACUUCAGCAAGGAUAUUUGUCCAAGAAAAGUGGUGCCCUACCUCCUCAUGGCCCCUUUCUCCUGUCACAACGUGGUUUUCCUCACAGUGUGUUAAUAUCAACAGUCUUUUGUUAUUACCACGAAUUCUUGUCUGAUGGGAUUCCUGUCUGAUUCACUGGCUCUACAGCCAUGCAGGUAUCAGUGUUUGAGGCACACAUUGGGCCCUUAUCUUCUGGGAUUCUACAGUGGGGAGGGAGAUUCUCUUUUAAAGCAGGAACAUGCUUUCCAGCCACUGGGUCCUCUGAGUGGAGAAGGUAAACAGCCAGUAUGACUUAUCUCCAGCUGUUUCCAAGUUCUUGCAGUUGCUUUCUGGAAAAACUGUGUGUAGAGAUGUUCUUCUAAAGCCAGAGAUGGAGUCAUCCUAGGGGUCUGCACUGGUUCCUGCCUGACACUGCACAUCUUUGCCUUACCCUCAAUGCAAUUUAAUGAAUCUGCAAUCCCAUGUGUGGGCAGACCAGCAAGUUACCAGAAGAGGGUGUAACAGGAGUAAACUGAAGCACAAACAUCCAUCUGCUUGCCAGUAUUGCCUGACAUGCACUUGUUCCUUGGCGGAAGAAGGGAAAUAACCGAGUUCAUCUGAAAACAUGAAACUGAAAAAUACUCCAUCGUGUCCCAGUCAAGAAUGUGAGGGGUACAACUUGCUGAACCUAAAGAAAAUUAUUCUUUGCUACAGCAGAAACAUCUUCUGGGUAAGUUUCACACAGACAGAGUCCUUUUAAUUUUUCCAUCCUGCAUAGAAGCUGGAAUGAAAAAAUACUUUUAUG